rnacentral:rRNA from 1 species
GAUGAACGCUGGCGGCGUGCCUAAUACAUGCAAGUCGAGCGAACGGACGAGAAGCUUGCUUCUCUGAUGUUAGCGGCGGACGGGUGAGUAACACGUGGAUAACCUACCUAUAAGACUGGGAUAACUUCGGGAAACCGGAGCUAAUACCGGAUAAUAUUUUGAACCGCAUGGUUCAAAAGUGAAAGACGGUCUUGCUGUCACUUAUAGAUGGAUCCGCGCUGCAUUAGCUAGUUGGUAAGGUAACGGCUUACCAAGGCAACGAUGCAUAGCCGACCUGAGAGGCUGAUCGGCCACCCUGGAGCUGGGACACGGUCCAGGCUCCUACGGGAGGCAGCAGUAGGGAAUGUUCGGCAAUGGGCGAAAACCUGACGGAGCAACGCCACGUGAGUGAUGGAGGUGUUCGGAUCGUAAGACUCUGUUAUUAGGGGAGAACAUAUGUGUAAGUAACUGUACACAUCUUGACGGUACCUAAUCAGAAAGCCACGGCUAACUACGUG